rnacentral:rRNA from 1 species
AUUGAACGCUGGCGGCAGGCCUAACACAUGCAAGUCGAACGCGUGGCGGACGGGAGAGUAGUGUCUGGGAAACUGCCUGAUGGAGGGGGAUCACCAGUGGAAACGAUCGCUAAUCCCGCAUACCCUGGUGUUUGCCCAUAUGGGAUUAGCUAGUAGGUGGGGUAAAGGCUCACCUAGGCGACGAUCCCUAGCUGGUCUGAGAGGAUGACCAGCCACACUGGAACUGAGACACGGUCCAGACUCCUACGGGAGGCAGCAGUGGGGAAUAUUGCACAAUGGGCGCAAGCCUGAUGCAGCCAUGCCGCGGGUAUGAAGAAGGCCUUCGGGUUGUAAAGUACUUUCAGCGGGGAGGCGUUACCCGCAGAAGAAGCACCGGCUAACUCCGUGCCAGCAGCCGCGGUAAUUC